AACUCCCUACGGGGGGCAGCAGUGAGGAAUAUUGGUCAAUGGACGAGAGGCUGAACCAGCCAAGUCGCGUGAGGGAUGACGGCCCUACGGGUUGUAAACCUCUUUUGUCGGGGAGCAAAGAGAGUCACGUGUGGCUCAUUGAGAGUACCCGAAGAAAAAGCAUCGGCUAACUCCGUGCCAGCAGCCGCGGUAAUACGGAGGAUGCGAGCGUUAUCCGGAUUUAUUGGGUUUAAAGGGUGCGCAGGCGGAGGUGCAAGUCAGUGGUCAAAUUGCGGGGCUCAACCCCGUACUGCCGUUGAAACUGC
rnacentral:rRNA from 1 species